GGAGGGAGGAAUUGCCCCAGCCCAACCGACGCAUGCCCGAUUUUAGAAAGAGCCGAAAAUUCUAGCUAGCUAGCUAGCUAGGGGCCGGGCCGGGGCCACGCGCGCGCCUGCUGCUGCUGCUGCCCGGUGGAUGGCCGGCGGGCGGGCGAGCGUCUCCCCUCGAGAUCUGGCACAGCGCAGCGGCGCCGUACCGCAUCAUUGCACACCGUAGCCCUAGCCCAGGCUGCCAGCCCGGCACGGAAUGUUCCGGCUCAGCCGCCCGCCCCGCUGCCGCCUAUAUAGCCAGCGCCCCGGCCCGAUCCCUUGCUCCCCGCGACGCCCGCCCAUCUCGCCAUGGCGCCCCGCGCGCCUCCUCGGCUCGGUUAGCUAGCUGAUGUCCUGCGCGCGCGAGCGAGCUGCUGCUAGCUCGCGAGACGCGUGCGGUGAUCGCGGCGGCGGCGGGGUGCUGCAGGCGGCUACCACCGAUCGGCGGGGGGCGCGCGCGGGCGGUGAUGACAGAAGAGAGUGAGCACACGGCCGGGCGGAACGGCACGGGCGGAUGUGCCGUCGCGGCCGCGUGCUCACUGCUCUAUCUGUCAUCCUCCACUCCCCCCCCCCCGGCCGCCUCGCCGAUUGGAGCUAGCCGUGCCUCUCUCCGCGGCCACGCUCGCGCGGCCGUCGCGAUCACCGCACCGGCGAGGCUGCAAGCACGCCGACCGCCCGGUGAUCUCUCCAUCUCCUUGCCCGUGUCAUUGUAUGCCGCAGAAUUGCCACUGCGUCGUGAAUUGUCAUUGUAUGCCGCAGAAUUAAUAUCCCUUGCUUGUUCCCAAUAAUAGUCUGAUUUGGUUUUCAUGGGGCGUCGCUAGCUACUCGAUUACCGGAUCGGAAGAUUCUUCAGGUCUGGAGUUUCUUCGAUUCUGGGAUCUUCCUUCGGCGUAGGAAGAUAGGGAGAGGAGGAAUUGCGCGUCCCGUGCUGCUGGUGGCAGCACCUUAAUUCUCUGCGCUUAUUAUUUCUUUAACUGAGCCAAUUUAUACGGGGGUUUAUUAGGAAUAAUUCUGUUGGGGAUGCACUGCUACUGAAACAGUACAUCGUCGAGGCUCUCAGCAUUAAUUUAUUGAGAAUCCGAGGGUGCCUCUCUUUAUCUGAUCAAGCGGAGCCAAGCGGGAAGAAACGCCGCUUCUUGGGCUGCAUGGAUGAGCAACGACAGUAUAGCGACCGAACCACCGGAGAACAAAACCGCCGAGCCCGUCGAAGUUGUCGAACAUGAGCCCUGUGUCGAGUAUGUGGUUGAGCUCGAAGAAAACCGAAGCAAGCAGCUAAGCAUGUUCCUUGACCCGCUUUAAAUUAGUUACUUGCUUGGGUGAACCGAAAGUUGUGUUUGGCCACUUCUACCCCCGCCGAUCCCGGUACGGGGGAGGAGUAGAUCGUUGUGGCCUCGAUGGUGUCCUUGAGCAAGAUGCCAUUAUUUUAUCGCGCUUUUAUCAAAUUGAUCCGCCGCGUAGGUAUUUUUUUGGAGAGCAUGAUAAACACUGAACCUUAAGUUUUGUGUCUAUUUUAGUACUAUUUGUGAUCCCAAAGCUUGUAAAUUGUUAUUGAACCUUUAAUUUCAGAAUCUUCUAUAUCGAACUUGUAAUGUUUAAUUGUCGAA